GAUGAACGCUGGCGGCGUGCCUAAUACAUGCAAGUCGAGCGAACAGACGAGGAGCUUGCUCCUCUGACGUUAGCGGCGGACGGGUGAGUAACACGUGGAUAACCUACCUAUAAGACUGGGAUAAAUUCGGGAAACCGGAGCUAAUACCGGAUAAUAUAUUGAACCGCAUGGUUCAAUAGUGAAAGACGGUUUUGCUGUCACUUAUAGAUGGAUCCGCGCCGCAUUGGCUAGUUGGUCAGGUAACGGCUUACCAAGGCAACGAUGCGUAGCCGACCUGAGAGGGUGAUCGGCCACACUGGAACGGGAACACGGUCCAGACUCCUACGGGAGGCAGCAGUAGGGAAUCUUCCGCAAUGGGCGAAAGCCUGACGGAGCAACGCCGCGUGAGUGAUGAAGGUCUUCGGAUCGUAAAACUCUGUUAUUAGGGAAGAACAAAUGUGUAAGUAACUAUGCACGUCUUGACGGUACCUAAUCAGAAAGCCACGGCUAACUACGUG
rnacentral:rRNA from 1 species